CUUGGAAUUUUCAAAGCAUUCAAAUAAAGCUUUAGAAAUUCUUGUUCGAUAUCUUGUCACUAAUCUGUAGGUUACUCUCUGCUCCAUCUAUGAUUGUUGAAGAGUUUCAGAACAUUGUCUGAUGACACCAAUAAUCAUCCCUCUCCAAUAUCUUGUUUUCAAGAAAGUCAUUCUGCUUCAAUGUCUUGUCUUCAAACAAGACUUUCUCAAUGUAUUUAUCCUUUAGAGUAAAUUUUAAUGAAUAUAUUUAUAUUUUUCUUUUCAUAGUUUCUUUCGUCCAUCAUCUUACAAUAGUUUUUUCUUUCUUUGUUUCUAGUAUAGUAUUCCUUUGAAUGAAACAAAAUCUAUAGGAAAUAUAAAGAAGAAAACAUAUUUUGACGGAAGUGAAGUUGAAUUUGAAUAAUAAUUGGAAAGAAAGGGCGGACUACAGUGCAUACAAGAUAGUUCAGUAGUUUGGUAAAAUUUAUCUUAGACAAAGUGACAUAUAAGGGAGAGGUUGCUGCGGCUUCUGUUGUGCCCUUCAGCAAAGAGUACACAGCGUAACUUACCUUGUCCAAUGGGAAUGAUUUAGAAGUGAAGUGCUAAUAUUCCGGUAGCAACCUUCCACUUCAUUAGUGGGUCCUAUAGCCCGGGGCCGAGACCCGGAAUAUGCAGGGACCACCCAUUCUAGCCCUCUGCAAACCUGUCUCCUGCUGGGAUGAUAUCCCAUCGGGUCUGCCUUUUUUCUUUUCUUGAAUUUUAAUUUAUUUGAUAUCCGUUGAUGCACGCGAAUAAAUUGAUUCGUAUGUAGACGUCUGGCGCCAUUUUUAAUGAACUUAUGCAGUCGUAAAUUGCUGCAGCAUAAUUAGAAACAGAAUGGGAAGGAGCUCAUUUUUUUAGAAAUUAGGUUAAGAAGGUUGGUCAGAACUUGACAUUUCUAUAAAUGGAGUAAUUAACGCUUUACGGUAUUCUGCCACCUCUAUUCUUUGUGCUAAUAGCCAAAUACCAGGUAGUGUAAAAUUCAAUUAGUUAUCUUUCAUACUAACAGAGAAGCUGUUGCUCUUUUAGGUGAAGAGCGUGACAAAAAAUGUUUUAAGAAUUAGAAUAGCUCAAACAGAUAAAAAAAAAAGAGAGAGAGAGAAGAAAGAAGCAUGAGUGAAAAAACAGCUAAAGAAUGUGUGAUUAUAGAAUAAAACUUUCCAGACUCCACCCUGCAUAUCCGGAAAUAGCACGUGUGUUGUUUCAUUUCUAAUCAGCAGCAACAGAAAUACUAGAUUGUUGACAUUGGCUGACUUUCAACCCUAUCAAACAGCUCUGCAUUCAUUUAUCUAUCCUAUCCACUUGACAGUUCUGAUUUUACGCUGGCCUCUUGUCAUUGUUGGAAAAUUCCUCUUUUUAUACGGGACGCGACACUCUAAAAAAGGAGCAGCACCAUUCAGUAAGGGCCGCGUCACGUGGCACGAAUGAGAUUACCCUGGUGUGGGUUCCGUGACGCAACUUCUUAAUCGACACUAAGUCAGCGUCUAUUUGGAGAUGUUAAAGAACCGAUAUUUGGGUCUGGGAGGCGCCUCUAUAGGAAUGCGGUGCGUAGGAAUAGUCUCCGGCUCCUCCCAAUUUUGCUGGAGCAGGAGUGGAUUAUCCGCUUUUAAGGCAUUAAUGCCACUCUAAUUAGGACAACUCCUUUGGAGAGGGAUAAAAAAUCGAGUCGGAUUCGCCUCAUAUAGCACGCUCAAUCAUCCAAAAUCCUCCAGCUGUACCUGAUUAGUCAUAAGAUUUCCGGCAGGUCGGGUCAACGUGGGAAUGACAUCCGGCCACUUACGUUAAAUGACGAAUGUUGCAACCCGCACGUGCUCUCUCUGAAACAUGGGCUCGAUCCGAAGGUCUGCCCCCUACUAAAUCAGCAACGAGAGAAAGGGGAUUUCAGGUACAACCCGUAUACGUUCGACCGCUUGAUGACCGCCGACAUGGAUAGAUUCUGCAGACUACACUAUAUUGAUAGAGACAACCCACGUGGGUCCUCUCAUUCCCCUACAUGUGUCAGUAAAGAUCUGACGGUCACUUUCUCUUGCACGAUGUUAUCUGUGACAAUACAGCUCGCUUGUAAUUUGUGUCAAUUCUCAUUUUUUCCCCCCCUUUCGGAUGGAACGUCACAGAUAAAAGUUAUCUUGAUCGAAUUCAGUCUUUUUUUUUUUUUCUCUCUCUCUCUCUCUUUCUAACUCUUUUUAUCAAAGCC
rnacentral:lncRNA from 1 species